rnacentral:rRNA from 1 species
UACGUAGGGUGCAAGCGUUGUCCGGAAUUAUUGGGCGUAAAGAGCUCGUAGGCGGUCUGUCGCGUCUGCUGUGAAAUCUCAGGGCUUAACUCUGAGCUUGCAGUGGGUACGGGCAGACUAGAGUGCGGUAGGGGAGACUGGAAUUCCUGGUGUAGCGGUGAAAUGCGCAGAUAUCAGGAGGAACACCGGUGGCGAAGGCGGGUCUCUGGGCCGUAACUGACGCUGAGGAGCGAAAGCCAGGGGAGCAAACGGG